rnacentral:rRNA from 1 species
UAGGGAAUCUUCGGCAAUGGACGAAAGUCUGACCGAGCAACGCCGCGUGAGUGAAGAAGGUUUUCGGAUCGUAAAACUCUGUUGUUAGAGGAGAACAAGGACGUUAGUAACUGAACGUCCCCUGACGGUAUCUAACCAGAAAGCCACGGCUAACUACGUGCCAGCAGCCGCGGUAAUACGUAGGUGGCAAGCGUUGUCCGGAUUUAUUGGGCGUAAAGCGAGCGCAGGCGGUUUCUUAAGUCUGAUGUGAAAGCCCCCGGCUCAACCGGGGAGGGUCAUCGGAAACUGGGAGACUUGAGUGCAGAAGAGGAGAGUGGAAUUCCAUGUGUAGCGGUGAAAUGCGUAGAUAUAUGGAGGAACACCAGUGGCGAAGGCGGCUCUCUGGUCUGUAACUGACGCUGAGGCUCGAAAGCGUGGGGAGCAAACAGG